GACUGAGUGCUCAGUCAGUGUGCGAGAGAGGCAAAACAUCGACAGCCCCCACCCCCCUCCUCCCCCACCACACCAGCGCACGCGUACGCACAGAGCCACUGCAGCUGCGUCUGCACGUCACUUUAGAUCUGAGCUUGUGCCCGGGCCAACGUUUUGCGUUUCCUGAUCGCGCGCUGCGUCUCUGCCUGCGAAAUCCCUGGGGGCCGUCGCUGCCCAUCCGACGGCCAAAGACGCCCGCACGCAUACACCCUCUGCGCCAACGCGUGUAUGCAUCUUUCUAGCCAGAGAGCCAAGCAGCCCAGCUCUUCCCUAUCGCUCAUGCCCAUCAUUCUUCGUGUGUGCGUGGCCAUCGAGUCGGACGCGGCUCUGCCGUCGACGCCAAUGGCACCUUCGCCACAGGCUGCUGCUGCUGCGACGACGGCCCCUGCAUUUGCGAGGAGUGCACUAAACCUCCACCCUCUACAUCAGCAGCGGCCUGCGCCCCAGAUAUCAGCCUCAAGGCUGCCUAGCUCGCCAGGGCUGCAGCAGGACUCGGCUCCGCUGCCGACGCCUCGUCACAGGUCGCUCCUGUGGCUAUCGAUGCAGGUGACGCUGACCACGACGGUGAAGGCGGUCCUCCAGCAGGUUCAGGAGACGGUGGAGCGGCGCAUGUGUGCCUCAUUAUGCGCCGGCUACACACAUGGCGACCACCACGAGAUCAGCGGAGGCAACAGUGCCCCUUGUGCCUUGGCCCGCCCUACUUCGCUGCUGGGCCGCAGCGGCGGCAAGGAUCACAGUAGCGGUUCCGUCGUGGAUGGUACCCAGGCAGCCGACCCGUUGACUUCUCGUACUCCUCAUCUGACAGAUAGCUUGCAGGAAGCGGAACUCUGUCUCUGCCUGCAAGACAAGGAUGGUGAGUACCGCUGGGCCGGCGGCACGCAACACUUCCACAAGGUGGCCGUGCUGCGAGCGCCGUUCAUUACGGAAGUGUGCCUCCGCACGCACGCCGUCUUCGAGGAAGAGAGGCGCCGGUCGCGCCGCGAGGCGAGACAAGAGCGAACUUCGUCAGCGCGGUCGUCGUCGUUGACCUUGGCAUCACACGCGCCGUCUCUGCUUCCCAGCCUCUACCGCAGCGCUGAAGACGCUCUCAACGUCAGCGAUAGCCGUGAGUGCAGCGAUGAGCAUUCGGACCAGCGCGCGAAGAGCACACAUGGAAAGCGAGGGGGUGCGCCCGGCAAUGCCCCGGACACUUCGGCUGCCACAACGACAGUCAACAAAGGCCAUGCAGCGCACACGCUGACCGGCCAGUCCUUUGCGAGGAAGGCCGGUCGGCCAAGGUUCGCUUUCUUGAAGGGUGUUGUGGUGCCCAUGGUCGUGCUGCGGCAGUGCAACCCUCAAUACGCCAUGGUUGGCAAGCACCACCCGCACGGCCGCACCCCUCGACAGUAUGCAGAGGUGCGGGUACCGGCUGACAUGCAGGCGGAGCCACUCGAUGACUUCCUGCGCAGCUCUGGGACUGCACCGGCCAGUGACACGGCACAGGUCACGUCGGAGGAGUCAGUUGCUCAUGCCUCUGCUCAUGCGGAGCUGUUGCCGCUACGAGUGACCGCGCUGUCAACUUCGGAUAGACUUGGUGACACGGUAUUGCGGUCUCCCGCCUCACCGCACAGCACCAGCGCUCCGGCGACGAGAGACAUCUCAGCUGAGACACCUUGUCUCGCUGCCGCGCUGAUGCCCGCGUCCUCGACGUCGACGCUACCAAGCUGCUCUGCGCCGCUUGACCGAUCGUGCGGAGUCGUCGAGGACGCCCAUAGUCCCCGUACCCGCCCUUCGAUUUUUGACACCCACCAAGUUCAUUCCUACCACUCGACCGCGGCAGCGACGGCGCACACGGCUACAGCGGCAGGGCCAGUCGGCCUGGUGGCGCACGCCACGACGGUGGAGAGGGCGAGCGAAGCGAGUGGCCCAAGUGCCACAGCGGACGCACUGCGCGUGCGAGGGACCGUCGACGUGCAGGCCUGCGAAGCAUCGGCGAAGGAGGAAGCCGCAGUCCGCAUCGCCUUGGCAGCCGCGCAGCAGGACUACACCGCCGCGCUAGCCGAGUACAAGUCAGUGGUGGCAUGCUCAUCUGCCAAGCCCACCGCGGCAAGCGAGUGUGAGGUGCAGCCCUGGCAGCCGGCUCAGUGUGCUGACGCAGAGCUGGCGACUCUCCUGCAGCGGAGGGUCGAACUGCAGAGACAGCUAAAGGUGUGCCGGGAGGCGGAGCAACAGUGUGAGCGACUGACCAUGCUGGCCGAGCGCCUAGAGAAGGCGGUACGGGAGCAGGAGGAGCGUCGCGUGCCGCGGACGCCGCUGCGCCACGGCAAUGAUAGUGCCGCAUUUGCGGCUGGCUACUAAAGUGAUAGGAGGGUCACUGUGCGUGUGUGUAGGUGUGUACGGGGGUGGCGGGGCGGAGGGACGGCGAACACUUACGCACAAGCGUUCCGCAGAAAACACUCCGCCGCCCUUUCUCUUCCUUGUAAUUCGUGUGCGGAAUACCUGCCGGCUGUCUCUCGUGCCGUGUGCACGUACCGCCAUCCGCGCACGUGCCCGAGGCACAGAGAACGAUGAAGUGAUGGGUCGCAAUCGCCUUCCCGGCAGCAAGCUCUCUCCUCCCCUCCAACGCGGAAAGGAACGCCGACACGUUACGCCACGCGCUGGUGAAGGAACUCGUCGCUUGCAUGCGUAUGCGUUUCUGCGCAUGUGGGGCAGGUAUGUAUCUACGUAUGGCGCAUGUAACUCGCUUGACUGCAUCCUUCGACGGCACUGGAUAGCACCCCGCACGUGCGCCCAGCGCGGACUCUUGGAGUGGGAGCUUGUAAGAAACCGUGUGCGCACGCAUCUUACACAGAUGCAUGCACACGCUCGCGAACGCCGGUGCAAGUGAGAUGCAUGCCAGCGCACGCUGCCGCCCAUACGCAAUGGUGC
rnacentral:misc_RNA from 1 species